AGUGAACGCUGGCGGUAUGCCUAACACAUGCAAGUCGAACGGCAGGACAGUAAGAGCUUGCUCUUAGGGGUGGCGAGUGGCGGAUGGGUGAGGAAUGCAUCGGAAUCCACUUUGGCGUGGGGGAUGACGUAGGGGACCGUAAGCGGAUAGCGCAUACGUCCUACGGGUGGAAGGAGGGGAUGUUUGGGCGUUGCGCGAGUGCAUGAGCCGAUGUCGGAUUAGCGAGGUGGUGGGGUAAAGGCCCAGCAAGGCGUCGAUGCGUAGCUGGUCUGAGAGGAUGAGCCGCCACACUGGAACUGAGACACGGUCCAGACCCCUACGGGAGGCCGCAGUGCGGAAUAUUGGACAAUGGGCGAAAGCCUGACCCAGCCAUACCGCGUGGGUCAAGAAGGCCUUCGGGUUGUAAAGCCCUUUUGUUGGGUAAGAACAGCAGCAGGUUAACACCCCGCUGUUCUGACGGUACCCAAAGAAUAAGCACCGGCUAACUACGUG
rnacentral:rRNA from 1 species